rnacentral:rRNA from 1 species
GACGAACCGUGCGAACGUUGUUCGGAAUCACUGGGCUUAAAGGGCGCGUAGGCGGGCGGCAAAGUCAGGGGUGAAAUCCUCCAGCUUAACUGGAGAAGUGCCUUUGAUACUGGUCGUCUUGAGGAAGGUAGGGGCAUGCGGAACUGAUGGUGGAGCGGUGAAAUGUGUUGAUAUCAUCAGGAACUCCGGUGGCGAAAGCGGCGUGCUGGACCUUUUCUGACGCUGAUGCGCGAAAGCCGGGGAGCAAACGGGG